rnacentral:lncRNA from 1 species
AUGUGAAGAACAGUGUUUCUCUCCUACAGAGGAUGCAGUGUCCAGGGCAUCAUCUAUGAAUGGAGACAACCUUUACCGGACACCAAACCUACCAGCACCAUGACCUUGAACUUUCCAGCCUUCUGAACUAUGGCGUACUGCUCUGUUGCCCAGGUUAGAGUGCAGUGGCUUGAUCAUAGCUCACUGCAGCCUUGAGCUCCUAGGCUCAAGCAGUCCUCUUGCCUCAGCCUCCUGAAUAGCUGGGACUACAGGGCUCAGGGAGGACUGACAGGACUAGAGUUGACAACCAUUCAUCCAACAAACAUUUACUGCACGAGGAAGAGAGGUGAUCAAGGCACUGCCCUUGUCCCCAGGAAGCUCGCCAGUGCAUGGGACUGUGCAGGUGUCUUCACCUCUGCAUUAGGCAUUCGAUGUCAGGCCAUGGCUGAGCAUCCAUCCUCUCUAUGCUAAUUUUUUCCAAAAGUCAAGAGUUUGGAAGAACACUAAUGUGUUUUUCUUCCAGCCUUUCCUAUACAAAUGACAACAUCAUUACCCUCAGCUUUUAAAGUGCAAGUCUGUACAGAGAUCCCAGAGUCAAGGAGGGCGCCUGAGUCAUUUGAAAUAAUUACCUUUUUUUUUUCCUGCCUGAGUCUUGCAUAUCUGUGAAUCAGCAAUGUGGAAACUGGGCUUCAAAAAAAUUAAGGGAGGCUUAAAGUGAGCAAAGCAGAGAAGAGCAUUGGCAAGAGCUGAGCGCUGCCACAGCAGGAACAUCAUGCCGAUCGUCAUCUAAGGGAGCUCAUGGUGCUGUCUGCCUCCUCUUAGCAACAUCCACACAGGCUGGUACAGUCAGAUCAUUGUGACUUGGACAGGGAUGAAAAUACUCAGCUGACACCAAUAGCUCCCAGCACAGCCAGGGUAUUCUAGAGGUGUGUGGUGUCAGGACAGCCUGUGCGGCCUCAUUUAUUUACCUGAGUCAUCUGAACAAAGCGGUGACUGGCUUUGCCUGGCUCUGGCAAGGACUCGCAACAAAGCCAAAGCCUCUUCCUCCACGGCCUUUGCUCCUGCAGCACAGCACUGGCAUCUUUUUAGCAUCAUAGACACUGUCACGUGGCAAUCAAUGACAGAUGAACUGUCCCUUCCCUGGGCCACAAGCUCUUCAAGGCGGGAGCCUCAGCCCAGUUUCUUCCAUGUCUCCAGCGCCCAGCACAGGGCCUGGCUUCUAGCUGGUUUCUGAUGAAUAAACGAAUGGCUAUAGAGAUGUACUCUUCAAAACACAAGGGGCUUCUAUAGUGGCAACAUGUUCAGUAGCACAGUGCUGUAUUGGUUCUUUACAGCUUGCAGGACCCAAAGAAGGAAUGAUUUUUGUUUCCCGGGAAAGGUGUACCUCGUGGGGGCACUGCUCAAGGGAAGGUGCCCACAAGUUGGGGAUCAAGGGAGGCACAGGUUGAUCAAAGCCCCUGGAAUUGAAAUGGAGGUGUUCAUCCUGCGGAGGCUCCGAACAUCUGAGGCAGAGCCUCGAUUCUCCAGGAAAUUGACUUUGCCGGAGAACAAGGCUGGGGAAGGCAGGCUGUCCUAGGGGAGGAGUCGUAUUUCAGCCCCACUGAGACCCCAAAGGCGCACUCCCAUGCUUUACCCCAGCUGUCCACCAGGGGGCAGGCAGAGGCAAGAGAAGAGGAAAGCGGGCGGCUGGUCAGGCCCAGCACAUCCAGCCUGGCAUCCCACACGCUGGGCUGCCUGACUCAGACAAAGCCAGGCCGCUCCUCCUGCCUGUUGUGGCCUCUGUGAUUUUAUAUGGUUUGGCCUGUGACAUCAGACACCACGCGACCAUGGUAACCAAAGUAUACAGCCUGGAGUGAAUGUUAAUAAACAGGAAAGAAAUGA